GAGUAUAAUGCUGAAAGUACUGUUGUCAGCAUUGGAUAUAUUUUCCCGGAUUUACAACGGAAUCGAUCGAGAUGUAGAAUAUCUUCAUAAGUUCAUUGAGAAGAUGGUAUUCCACAUCAGUAUAGAACAGAUAUGUCAUGAAGUAAAUAAAGAGGAUUCAUUAACUACUUACGCAGAUGCAUCCUGGGUGAAAGAAGUUAUGACUUACUUGGGCAACUGAUUAUUCAACUGUAUAUGUAAUAACUUAUGUUUUGUAUAUACUGGUAGUGACUGUUAUCAUUAUUAGAUUUCAUACCCAUUUACAAUACUUUGUAACUUCAAUUGUGUUAAUUCAUAGGCAUCUGAACAGUACCAAAAUACAAACAAAAACAAUAUUUU